UACAUCUUUAUUUGGAAAUUCAGGCAAUCCCGAUCCCGGAGACGAAGAUAAACCCUCGCUUCUAGUAUCAGUUACCGAAGCAGGCUCAACAAGCACCUUUCCCUUUGUGGACGUUUCGGUGGGGUUGGGGUCAGUUUGGCAGGCUACUAUGGUUGUGAAUCGGCGAGACUUGAUUUGGUAACGGAAAGAGGUUUGGAUGAGCGGCGGUGGAGGUUGAGCGGCCUGAAAAUAUGACCGGAAUCUAUGGAGGCCUAAGGGAUUUGAAGCCACACGAGCCAUGGAGAUAUUUCUGAAAGAGUUUCUUUCUUGUGGUGUACUUGAGUUGAGUUGGCCACAAAAGCUAGGAAA
rnacentral:misc_RNA from 1 species